rnacentral:rRNA from 1 species
UACUAUAGCUUGACACUGAACAUUGAGCCUUGAUGUGUAGGAUAGGUGGGAGGCUUUGAAGUGUGGACGCCAGUCUGCAUGGAGCCGACCUUGAAAUACCACCCUUUAAUGUUUGAUGUUCUAACGUGGACCCGUAAUCCGGGUUGCGGACAGUGUCUGGUGGGUAGUUUGACUGGGGCGGUCUCCUCCUAAAGAGUAACGGAGGAGCACGAAGGUUGGCUAAUCCUGGUCGGACAUCAGGAGGUUAGUGCAAUGGCAUAAGCCAGCUUGACUGCGAGCGUGACGGCGCGAGCAGGUGCGAAAGCAGGUCAUAGUGAUCCGGUGGUUCUGAAUGGAAGGGCCAUCGCUCAACGGAUAAAAGGUACUCCGGGGAUAACAGGCUGAUACCGCCCAAGAGUUCAUAUCGACGGCGGUGUUUGGCACCUCGAUGUCGGCUCAUCACAUCCUGGGGCUGAAGUAGGUCCCAAGGGUAUGGCUGUUCGCCAUUUAAAGUGGUACGCGAGCUGGGUUUAGAACGUCGUGAGACAGUUCGGUCCCUAUCUGCCGUGGGCGCUGGAGAAUUGAGGGGGGCUGCUCCUAGUACGAGAGGACCGGAGUGGACGCAUCACUGGUGUUCGGGUUGUCAUGCCAAUGGCACUGCCCGGUAGCUAAAUGCGGAAGAGAUAAGUGCUGAAAGCAUCUAAGCACGAAACUUGCCCCGAGAUGAGUUCUCCCUGACUCCUUGAGAGUCCUGAAGGAACGUUGAAGACGACGACGUUGAUAGGCCGGGUGUGUAAGCGCAGCGAUGCGUUGAGCUAACCGGUACUAAUGAACCGUGAGGCUUAACCUUACAACGCCGAAGGUGUUU